rnacentral:tRNA from 1 species
GAAAUAUUAAUUUAAUUGAACUUCUAAUUCAAAUUACAAAUAAUUUAGUUUAUUUAUAUUUCU